rfam:Triticum aestivum genome assembly, contig: Triticum_aestivum_CS42_TGACv1_scaffold_130080_2BL
CUAGUACUUUCUCUGUCCGGAAAUACUUGUCGGAGAAAUGGAUGUAUCUAGACGUAUUUUAUUUCUAGAUACAUUUAUUUUUUAUCUAUUUCUCGGAAAAGUAUUUCCGGACAUAAGGAGUAAAUG